UACGUAGGGUGCAAGCGUUGUCCGGAUUUAUUGGGCGUAAAGAGCGUGUAGGCGGCCAAACAGGUCCGUUGUGAAAACUGGAGGCUCAACCUCCAGACGUCGACGGAAACCGUGUGGCUAGAGUCCGGAAGAGGAGAGUGGAAUUCCUGGUGUAGCGGUGAAAUGCGCAGAUAUCAGGAAGAACACCAAUGGCGAAGGCAGCUCUCUGGGACGGUACUGACGCUGAGACGCGAAAGCGUGGGGAGCGAACAGG
rnacentral:rRNA from 1 species